rnacentral:lncRNA from 1 species
CGCACCUGAAGCUGGUGAUAUGCAGCUUCCCAGUAAGACCUCAGGAGUUGGGCGAGUGGGCUCAAGCACAUUAAGAAGCAAAGUGGUGAAGUUUAACUGGUAUGUGACCUUCCGCUGGAACGCUCGGCUGGCAAGGGAAGAGCACCUCAAGUGAGCAUGUGUACAAUUUCAGGGCACACAUUGUGCACGCAGCCCCUCCCACAUGCUGGCAGGCCACGGCGCGCGUGACAGCCCACCCCAAGAGAAGAAUCACAGGAGAAGAGACGCAGACCCCGGAACCAUGCCAAUGUAUAAAAACCCAAGUCAAAAGUCAAACUGUGCACUGGAAUCUUUCAAGUCGCCCACUUGACCCUCUUCCAAGUGUACUUUACUUCCUUUUGUUCCUACUCUAAAACUGUUUAAUCAACUUUCACUUGUGCUCUAAAACCUGCCUCAGCCCCUCACUCUGCCUCAUGCCCCUCAGAUGAGUUCUUUCCUUUGAGGAGGGAGGAAUUGAGUUACUUCAGGCCCGGAUGGAUCCACCGCUGCUGACGUACUUUGGUGCUGACAUACUUUGGUGCCGUGACUCGGAUACAUUCCCUAGAGGUUGCCCUCGGAACACCCUCCCAGGUAACUGCCAUCGCUGCGGGAAGCCAGGCCACUGGAAGGCAGACUGCAUCAGUCGGACAAAUGGGAGGAAGCUCCACACAGCUGGCCCCCUCCGCCACACUCAGCCAGUGGAACAGGACUGCCCUGAGGGCUGAAGGGCCCUGGGACAGAUUCUCAACCCCUGACGACUUUCAGCUGAAGGAAGUGUCUGCACAGCUGGCCUCCAAGUCAGACAUCGUAUAAAUUAACAAAUUUCCUUGUCAAUUGUGUCUAACUGCGGCUGCCCCAAGACUUAUCAUACACAGACAAUUGUUGCUUCAUUUUAAUCCCCUUUAAAAGAUGGUUUUAUAAUCAAUAUAGGACUCUAAUAACAAGUGCUCUUAAGUCACCUGCCCCAGAGGGGAGGCUUGAGUGACACCUGGAGCUCCUGCACCAUGGGGGAGACAUGAGUGACACCUGAGCACCUGUAUCUUGUAGGAGGUCUGGGUGUGACGUGAGCCCCUGCAGCACAGGGGAGGCUUCAGGAACACCUGGAGCACUGGCAUCUCACAGGAAGGAGGCUUGGGUGUGACCUGAGCACCUGCACCACGGGAGAGGCUUGGGUAGCGUGUGGACACCUAGACCACAGGGAGGCCUGGGAACUGCCUGAGCACCUGCACCACGGGAGAGGCUUGGGUGACACUUGGGCACCUGCACCCAACACAGGUAGCAGUGAUCACAGUGAAAACAUUUUGUUAGCAGUCGUCUGCUUCCUGUCCUGGCAUGAGCAGCAACGGGUAAAGGGCACUCUUGUCAGCUGAGGGGAUGAGUGGGGCUCUGCCCAGCUGGUUGGAGACUCCAGCAGGUUUGCAGGAGGAGACGGAAGAGCAAGGAGUGGAGGCAAAAACUGCUGCCAAGAUCCUGUGGGAAAACAGGAACCCAAAGAAGGAACUCCAAUGGGAAACUAAUUUAGACAACAAUGAUCUUAAAGUGUUUGCUCCUUCGAGACUGUUGAAAAGAACUCCCACGAGUGAACAAAAGACGCCUGGCCGAGGACACUCCAGAGUGCUGUCACGAGGGUUCCCUGCAGUUUUCAGAAACUUGGAGCAUGUGGCCACAGCGGCUUGCACGUGAUUCAUACGGCACAUCUUGUCACCAUGUAAAUGUUUAUCAGCAGAGACAAAGACCAGAAGAGCAACCUUGGAAAGAGCUAAAUAUUCCGAUGUUCCAGCAUUUUCCCCUCUGGUUUGUAUUCUGAAUUUUUAAAAUCUCGAUUGACAAGUUCU